UGGAAUUGGAAAUUGGACAGA
rnacentral:piRNA from 1 species